CUAAGAAUCUUCCGCAAUGGGCGAAAGCCUGACGGAGCGACGCCGCGUGAACGAAGAAGGCCGUGAGGUUGUAAAGUUCUUUUCGGGAGGGGGAACAACCGUGGCAGGGAAUGGCCGCGGGAUGACGUGAAUCCCGGAAUAAGCCCCGGCUAACUACGUGCCAGCAGCCGCGGUAACACGUAGGGGGCGAGCGUUGUUCGGAAUCAUUGGGCGUAAAGGGCGUGCAGGCGGUCCUGCAAGUCCGGCGUGAAAGACCCCGGCCCAACCGGGGGGACGCGCUGGAAACUGCGGGGCUUGAGUACAGGAGGGGAUGCCGGAAUUCCAGGUGUAGGGGUGAAAUCUGUAGAUAUCUGGAAGAACACCAAUGGCGAAGGCAGGCAUCUGGCCAUGUACUGACGCUGAGACGCGAAGGUGCGGGGAGCAAACAGGUUUAGAUACCCUGGUAGUCCGCACAGUAAACGAUGUGCACCAGGUGGCGGGGGGUCGACCCUCGGUACCGUAGCUA
rnacentral:rRNA from 1 species